rnacentral:rRNA from 1 species
UACGUAGGGGGCUAGCGUUGUCCGGAAUCAUUGGGCGUAAAGAGCGCGUAGGCGGCCAGAUAAGUCCGGUGUGAAAGUCAAAGGCUCAACCUUUGAAUGCCGCUGGAAACUGUCUGGCUAGAGUCCGGGAGGGGCGAGUGGAAUUCCUGGUGUAGCGGUGAAAUACGUAGAUAUCUGGAGGAACACCGGAGGCGAAAGCGGUCCACUGGGCAACUUCUGACGCUGAGGUGCGAAAGCUAGGGUAGCAAAUGGG